GUUCUGUUUAAGCAAUAGCACAUAGCCUCAAUAGUUUUGGUGCCUUGUUAUCACUGUGAGUCAGAUCUGUAAAAACCCUUCAUACCAUUGUUUUCUACUACAGAAGAGUACUAUCACUGUUCUGGGAAAGAUAGGACAUUUAAUAUGGUACCUGUAAUCAGAAUUUCUAUUAGGCUGAGUGUGUGGUUGUUUACUUUUAAAUGAAGCUGUUGCCCUGCUCACCAAUGCAUUCUUUUGUCCUUGGCAAGUGGUAUAUCCUAUGAGCCUCCCUGUGAAGCUUAAUCACCCAGUGAGUCUUCUGACCCCGUCUAAGUUAAAGUCUGUGCAUUGCUCCAAGCAAAGUAUGUACCCGGGCAAGGUCAAGGGACUUGGCUCCAGCACGUGGCCUUCGGGACACUUGUGCCCUGGUGAGAACAGCAUUCCGGGACUCGGAGUCAGCACUUCGGCCAUCCGUCUUCUCGUGCCCCAACACCUGCCCAUCUACCCUACCCACACCAGCAUAUCUGAGAGAGGCACAAGGGGCACAGAAGUGGAUUUUACAAAGAACCGGAGAGAGAACUACCCGGAUGUUAUGGCUUCAAUCUGCAGUGUACCCUAAAGGUCUCACUGGUGCAGAGGCAAAGUUUUUGGAAGAUGACUGGAUCUAAUAAGGGCUCUGAUUUCAUCAGUGGAUUAUUCUGUUGAUAAGAUCAUCCUGUGAUGAUAUUUUUGGGAGAUCAUGGAAACUUAAGUCUUCAGAGCAUGAACCUGAAGACUAUAUUCUGUCCCUGGCUCUUCCUCUCUGACUUUCUCACUUUUUCUUCUCUUUGGCUGUCAUUAGAUGAGCAACUUCUUCCACACCUCUGUCCCACCAUGAUGCUGUCCCACCACAAUGGAGACACAUGACUAUAGAUUAAACCUCUAAAACUAUGAGCCAAAAUAUAUACUUCUUUUAUUUUCCUCCAGUAUUUGGUCACAGUGACCAAAAGCUAACUAACACCACAGAUGUAGUUAUACAAGAAAUACCACCUGCUAUAGUUUGGAUAUUUAAUGUCCCCCAAAGACCCAUGUAUUAAAACUUGAUCCCUAGGGUGGUGCUAUUGAGAAGUGGUAGAACCUUUAGGAGGUGGGCCUUAGUGAGCAGUCCUGAGAUCAUUGAAAGGAUGUUCUUGAAGGAGACUGUGGGACUCUGACCCUUCUUCUUCUUGUGCCUCCUGGCCCAGAGUAGAAUAAGCAGCCUGCUUCCUCAGGUGCCUCCUCAUCAGAGGUCCAAUGCAAUGGUCUGUCCAGUUUAGAGCUGCAGUCUCUAAACCCUGCAGCCCCAAAUACAUAAUUUUAAAGUUAAUUAUCUCAGGUGUUAUUUUCAAAGUGACAGCUGAUUAAUGUAUUACUUAUCAUUUCUAUUUUUUGUUUUUUGAAAUAGCCUACUAUAAAAGUAAAUGCAUGAUUUCAGCUCUUUUUUUUCUUCUUUCAAUUUUUUGAGAGAGCAUCCUUACAUACAUGGAUUCAGCUGUGUGCAGGCCCUGAGUGCCUGCCAUCAAAGCCUAGUGAUAGCAGUGUUCUGGGGCUCCACCUUCAGCAGAGAGGACUGUUCCAGAAGUCCGUUCCUCUAGUUUGGGGAUAGGGCAGACAAUGAGGUGCUACUUUUCCCAUACAAUGAGUUUGGUGGAUAGGACUAUAAUUCAGCUUGGCCCUUUGUAUGCAGUUCAAUUCUACUGGUAGGCUGCCCUAACCCCAAUGCCAUUUGAUUGGUGGCCAAGGGACUGGUCUAUCACAAAAUGCAAUCUGGUCAAUCCUCCAGGUCUGAGCAACCCCUGUUCCCCUCCUUUGGUCUAUCCCAGGGAUGUUUCAUGCUUAAAACUGGGCAGAUUUCUCUGGAAACAUGACAACACUUUGGCUUGCUACCAUAUUUCUUCCUUUUUUGGGUUCCUUAAAUAAAGAGCAUUUUCCGCCCUCUUGGACAGCUACUCCUUGACCCUUUAAGUGGAUGUACUCUGAAGAAAAAUUGGCCCUACUUUGUUUCUCUCAAUAUUCAGAUUAAUUUUCCGUUUCCAGGGUUAGAUUAUGACUCACAUUUAAGAUCUUAGGCUUAAAAAAAAAGAAAUCAUGGCUGCUCUUUCCACUGUCCUGAAGGAAUGAGAAGUGGACUGAAGGUGGGAAGAAUUAGGAAAACAUUUUACAUUCAUUGCCCUGAAGAGGUCCCUGAUGAUAAAUUGCCAAAGAGGCAGAAAGAAAUGACAUGAAACAUGCCUACCCAAAUGUUUUCCUGUCCUUCACAGUCAGCACUCUGGGCCAGAUCCCAGCCUAGCAAGGCUGACUUGGAUCCUCACACUCAAACCCAGAACUAUUGAUUCACUUAGGGCUGUGUGCCAGGUUUUUCUUCCAGCCCAUACAAAACUAAUGAAAUCAAUGAAUGCUG
ensembl:lincRNA